rnacentral:lncRNA from 1 species
CUCCACUCAAUUUGGUCUCCGAACUUCGGAUUAUUCACUUUUUUUGAUUUCUUCCGAGCAUUCCUCAUCUUUAACUGAUGUUUCCUCCGAAUUGGCGACCUGCAUUGCUUACGACUACUAUAUAUGCAUAAAUCAGAUACCACAAAAGGGAGAUAUAUAAUAGAUAAACAUAUAUAUAUACAUAUAGAGAGAGAGAGAGACUUUUAGAAAGAGAGUGAAAAGAAAGAAUUGAAAACUUCAGAUGAUGUCUUGCAGGAAUCUGGAGGCUAGGGUUAGGGUUGAGAGGCUUGAGUGAGAGAUCAGUGGACAAGAUUCGGGACGAUGGCGCAUAUAUACACACACACGAAUGUAUAUAUGCGUAUGUAUGUCACUGUAGAGGGAGAGAAUAGACGGAGAUUGGGAGCGGGAGAACAGAAACAGAACCGCUCCUUUUACAGAGAGAGAAACC